UACGGAGGGUCCGAGCGUUAAUCGGAAUUACUGGGCGUAAAGCGCGCGUAGGCGGCUCGUUAAGUCGGAUGUGAAAGCCCUGGGCUCAACCUAGGAAUUGCAUUCGAUACUGGCGAGCUAGAGUAUGGUAGAGGGUGGUGGAAUUUCCUGUGUAGCGGUGAAAUGCGUAGAUAUAGGAAGGAACAUCAGUGGCGAAGGCGACCACCUGGACCAAUACUGACGCUGAGGUGCGAAAGCGUGGGGAGCAAACAGGAUUAGAAACCCCAGUAGU
rnacentral:rRNA from 1 species